GCGAGUAUGGUGUAAUGGUAACACAUCUCCUUCCCAAGGAGAAAAUGCCGGUUCGAUUCCGGUUGCUCGCU
rnacentral:tRNA from 1 species